rnacentral:tRNA from 1 species
GGGCACUUAGCUCAGUCGGUAGAGCAUCUGACUUUUAAUCAGAGGGUCACAGGUUCGAGCCCUGUAGUGCCCACCA